CCUCUCCCUCCCUUCCCCUCCCCUCCCUCCUUUCUCCUCCCUCUUUCUCUCAACAAUCAAUCAAACAGAAGUUGAUGGGUUCUUGCCACCUGCACCGGUUCAUUUCAACCUGCUCUUCCUGGCUCAUCUUGUUAUCCUCCUAGCUGAUCUCGCUGCUCCAACCCUAUUCCAUUCCUAGCUCCCCACCCAUUCCCAGCUCAGCACAUGACCCCCGUCUGCAUCACCCUGGGCUGUGACUCCCCAUUUCACUCGGGACUAAAGCCAAGUGUUAGGGCCUCCUACCUCAUGGCUCUCUCUGCACAUUGCUCAGGCACAGGUUACCACAUGAGGCUCUUUUCUAUCCAGGGCCUUUGCACUGGCUCCCUCCCCACUUCCAGGUAGGCACUUGGCUCCCUUUGAAUCUGUUCAAUAGGCUUCCUCUUCCAUGACCACCACACCCCAACCCAAAUAUCUCUCUCACCCUGCUGCUUUCUGAUUUCCUUACUUACAAAUUAACCCAAGUGUCUGCUUUUGGAGAGUUUACUACUGAAGACUGAUGCUUCUCAUGCUGAGCCCUUGGCCUGUUCUGUUGCCCCACAUGUCACAAGCUUGGGGGCCCUGCCUUGCACACCAUGGAGAUUCGUGAGUCAGUCCUGGGUUCAACUUAUGUCCAUCAGACCUUGAGCUCCUUGAGGGUGGAACUGGGCUCCUGCCCUGCAUCCUGAGCAGGCCCCAGUGCUGGGGUGUGGCGUUGUCCAGCCAGGAUCCACGGCGGCGGGGCAUGCAAGGCUCGCAGCGGGGGAAGCAGAGCCCGUGUCUUCAGCGCCUGCUCCUCUCCCUGUCGCCUCCUCCUCCACGCAUCAACGCACCUGGCCCCACCCUCCCUGCGAUGGCGCCGGACCUCCCCAGCUCUGUGCCCCUGCACCCAGGGCCUCAGAGACCACCUGUGCUCCGUCUCUUCUUCCACUCAGCCGCCCUUGGCCAUGGCACCAGCUCCUCUGGGACACUGAAUACUGCACGGACGCUCAGACCUAAACCACUCAUGCUCCAGGGACCAGAGCCCAGGGCCAGGCAAGGGGCUCUGCACCUUCCUCACCACCAGGGCACUUCCUGUCACGCCCCCAGGCUCGUCCCCCGCCUCUCUGAGCAACCCUUGCUUCCUCCGCCUGAGGGGAACGUGCCAUCACCCUGAGCCUGCUGUGUGGCUUCUUGAGGUGGGGACACACAACAGGGCUUCCUGUGGGCAGUGCUGGCUUCUGCGACCUGCUGGCCUGCGGCUCCCAGGGGUGGGAGGCAACUGGAAGGAGGUGGAGCCUGGCAUCACCUGUAGGUGUGUCCUCAGACGGCCUUGCUGCUGGGGACUGGACGGGGCCUCCGGGGCGGGGACAGCCAGAGGACUGGAUCCUCCACUCGCGUCCUGGCCACAGCAGGAGCACAAGCCCGGAGAUUUGACACGCCUCUCCUGGCUGUGCUCACAGCCUGCGGGCAGAGCUUGGCCAGCAGCACGCCAGCAGACAGGCGUCCCUGACUUCGGAAGCCAGGCAGGCUGGACUUUGUCAUCCCCAAAGGAAAGGAGGCUGGCGCUGAGGGAGGGGGAGCGCCUCGCGUGCUCAGGGCCGCUGUGCAGCCCAGACCGUUACCUCCGCCACGGCCGGAGGAGGGCAGGGCCCUGCCCCCUUGCGCAGGGAAGGAAGCAGCACGCAGGGAAUGUCGGGCCUGAGUCUCAAUCAGAGCACACGAGAAAGGUGGCAGGGAGGGCACCCCCCAAAUGCCCAGCAGGUCCUUGUUGAGCUGUCACAGGACCGGUGUUGUCACCACACCCAGGGCCACGUGACAGGAAGGAGGGGGCGGGGACAGGGAACUGGAGCUCCUGGGCUUGUGAUGCAGAGUCCAGCAGCUACCAGAGAAGGCAGGAGUACGCGCCACUGUGACCUCUUCCAGACUCACUUUUCUCAUCUGUCAAAUGGGCAGAUCAUACUGAUCCCCCAGGAUCCAAGAAAGGGCUUCCGAAAGUGUAAAGACUGAAGCGUUUUCUUCAUAUAAGCCACUAUCUUAUGUAGAUGCUCCUUUGAGUCCCCUCCUAUAUAUCCUGGUCUUCUGCUGCCUUUUUCUCCUAGGUGAGUCAGCCCAUCUCUAGGCCUCUGCCUUUAGGUUCCUCUCUUCAGCCCUCUGGAUGUCUUUCCAGAGGGGAAUGGAUGUUCUUCCAUUCCUUCAUCACAUUGUGUCUUUUCCUGCCCCGGGGCCCUUGCACAUGCUCUGUCUUCUACCUUAGAUUGCAACAUCCUCUUUUCCUUCCCCUGGGCACACCUGCUUCCCCUUGAGGCUGCAACAGAAAUUUCAUUUCCUCGAAGGGGCGUCUUUCUGAUUCUUCCAUCUAAAUUAGCCUCCAUGUUCUUUCCCUUUGGUGGGGCUGCUUCCUUCACCGUAUGCAAUUCCUCACCGAAAUUUUACUUGCUUCUUCCUAUUUGAGUCCAUUUUUCUCCUACAGUGGGAGCUUCCUGAGGACAGGCACUGUGUUUGUUCUGCCUUCUUAACGUCUCCAUCUUCAGGAGUGCCUGACACAGGAAGGACACCCAGCACCCAGCUAGCGAGGGAAGGUGUCUGUUGCUGUCUCCCCAGGGUGUCUCCUCUUGCUGCUCCUGUCCCUCACUGGGAAAUACCAGAAGCAGAGGACGCCAUCUGUGUCAGUCCGCUCUAGAGCUCUGUUCUAGGGCUCUGUUCACACCCCAGCUCUCUGUUAAGUCUUGUGACAUUUAUGCCUCAGUUUCUUCCUUUGUGAAAUGGGAGCUUUGGGGCUGCCCCAGGGGCUUGGAAAGUCAGAUGUGUGAAGUAUGCAAAUGCCUCCCACAGUGAGCACCCCUGAAAAGGCUGCUCCGCUCCCCUUCUGCAUGUGUCCUUGACCCAUCUUCAGAGAGGAUGCUGAGGACCAGAGAUGUUGGGUGGUUGGUUUGCCCAAGAACACGGGGGCAGAGCUGGGCACAAGAUGGGGUCUUCCAUUCCGUAUGAGACCAAUGAUGGGGACUGUGCCAUGGCCCAGAAUUAUCUCAAGGGCCCAAAGGGGUGCAAGGAGGUGCAGGCCUCUUAAACCAGCCCUUUGCUUCCCGAGGAGCAGCUGCUCUGUCUCCCUUGCCCUCUGUCUGUCCCUGGUCCGCACUGAGCAGCUUCCCCGAGAGGUCGCUGUGGCCACCUCUGCAGAGCCAGGGCCCCAGAAGACUAGGAUUGCUGGGGACACCGCUUGCUCACUGACCUAUAUUAAUGAUAAGUGCUAUUCGCCCUCCCAGUGCCCUCCCGGCCAGCACAUAACCCCACCCUGCACAGUUGCAAAACCAAAAUCACACCUGCACCCCACCCCACCCCAGCCACCACCCUCCGGCGUGCAAGUCUGCUCCGGAGUGAUGGAUGGCGCUCAGCAAGCAGGGCCCAAGGCCCGGUUUGCGGAAGGGAAAUGGCCAAGAGAGCAGACAGAAGGGAGCGGGGAGGGAGGGCAGAGGAGGGAGGCGGCGGCUGGGGCGUGGCAAGGGGUGGGGGACAAGGUGAGCAGCGCAGGAAGAGGAGGGAGAGAAAAUGAGCCGAGAGCAGGGGACAGAGCGCGGCCAGGGAGACGCAAAUGCUGGAAAGCACGAGAGGAUGUCUGUGGAGAGCAAUAAGCAGAGAAGCCAAGAGCAUCCUGGGAGGAAAUGGUGAGAAGGGAAGAGCAGGGCGGAGGGGGCAACACAGACGAAGAGCAGAUAAAGCGGACCAGAUAGGCCUGGGCGGCUGGCUGAGAGCAGCGGAAGGCCUGCCAGCCGGGACGAAGGGUGUGGCCGGUGAGGUGGACAGCGCAGGGGGCCCAGGGCCUUUGACAGGAUCAGAACGGGCUCCCCGGGAAGUGCCUGGUGGGGUCGCCCUGGACCCGGAGGCCAGGCUCCGCUGUGGCCUUCCCCUGACCUCACGCCAGCCCCGCUGCAGUGUCACCUCCGGCGCAGACUGUCCUGCAAGGCCAAGGCCAAGGUCAAAGCCCUGACUCAGUCUGCCCCUCCUGCAACCUGCCACCCCAAGGAGCUUCAGCAGCCGAGGCUGGGUCUGGGGAUUUGGAGUCUCUCCUGGGUCCAUGCUGGACUUUGUCUCCAAAUGUGUCGUAGAAACUCAGCAUCCUCAGGGUAACCCCUGCCCUCGACGCCCUGUCACUUACAAUUUGGCAAGGCCAGCAGAGCACAUGCCAGCGCCAGGACUCCUUGGGUCCCUGCAGUUGCCCUUUUUUCCUCCCCUUUGCUUCCUUCCCUCUCUUUGCCCUUAUUAACCCCGAAGUCAGUGAGUGCGGAGCCACAGCAAUCACUUAUGGUGAUUUUUGAUUUAGAGACGGUCUCACUGUGUAGCCUAGAGUGGCCUUGAACUUUCUAUGCUCCUGCCUCCUGCCUCAGCCUCCCAAGGGCUGGGAUUACAGGUAUGUGCCAUUACUCCUGGCUUGUCGUGAUUAUUAUCACCACGGGGAGGGUGUGACUGGACUCAGCUCUGUGGUUCUUUCUGGGGAAUCACACAUUCAGUAGUAUCCUUAGGCCUCACAAAGCCAUGCAGGUUCAAGAGAAGGGGACAUAGAUCCUACUUCUUCUGGCACAGUCCCUGGCAAGGUAUGUGCAUGUGUGCACACACCUCUGUGUGUGUGUGUGUGUGUGUGUGUGUGUGUGUGUGAGUGAUCAUGAGUGUGAUCUUUGGGAAACACUACCUGCCGCAGUUUGCUCUCAGUCUCCGAGAUAAACAGUGAUUUGCAUCCUCCCUGGUUGUGAAUGGAUUGCCCCUCCCAUCAGGGGUUGCAGUUUUAACCACCAGUCCCUGAGGGUGCAGCUAUAUCUGGACAUAGGGUCUCUACAUAGGUGUCUAAGUGGCAUGGGGUCAUUAUCGUGGGUCCCGACUCAAUCUGACUGGCAUCCUUCCAAGAAGAGGAGAUGAUACAGGCAUACACAGAGGGGAGACGACAUGAAGACGGGAGGGAACACCGUCUGCAUGCCCAGGAAAGAGGCUCAGAAGAAGCCAACCCUGCCACACCUUCAUCGCAGACUUCUGACCUCCAGAAUGGCGGAGAGCUCAUUCCUGGUGGUUGAGCUGCUCAGUCUGUGGGAUUUCCUAGUGGCGGCCCUAGUUGUGUAGUACAUGGCCCUGUAUGUAAAGUGCUGUUAUAUGCAUCUGUUCCUGUCCCCCAAGGGCUUUCUUUAAGGCAUCAGCUCAAAGCCUGGGAUCUUGUCAUCGGCCUCAGGUGUGGAUGCGUUCCCUUAAUGCGAGUCCCUGGGCACAGAUCUUUGGGUGCCAUUCCACCAAGUGGGAAGACCUAUAAGCCGAAGAACUGAGUCAUCUCCCCUCCCAUGCCGAGCAAUAUGGGGUAGGCGCAGGAGAACUGCCACAGUCACCCCCUAAUUGAAAGGAGAAACAGGAGGCACAGAGCAGCCUCUGGUCUAGGGCAUUUCUGAGCACCACCUGGGCACACGUUCUCGACUGGUGCUCAUGCCAGCUGCCUGAGAAUGAUUCGCUGUGGCUCAUGACCCUACCCUCUGGGCUCUUGGUUCUGUCAUCUGAAUCACCCUGGGGUUUCCAUAGGUGACCAGUGGCUGGGCAGAAUGGCACACAUCUGUAACCCAGCGCUAAGGGAAGCUGAGACAGGAGAAGGCUGAGGCUUGGGCAA